GUUGUAUGUAAGCCACCCAGUUUAUGCUUUAUUAUAGCAACUCAAAGGGACUAAAAUAGGACAGACACAUAGGUACACUUCAGGUAAGGUGUCAUUAACACCAAAAUCUAUUCUCAUUUAUUUAUUACCAAUGAGAUAUAGAUAGGUAGUCAUGUUAAUUAAACUGUUUUAGAAUAAUAUAAUAAAACUAGAAUAAUGAAUAAGCCAAAUAUGGUUUUUAAUUUACUAUCCACAUCUGUCAUUCUUUAAUUGUCCUACCAUUUUAUAGAAAUGAAUAGUUGAAAAAACUGUUAAGCCUGUAAUUUUUUCCACCUUAGGAAUUCUUAGGAAACAUAAAGCAAUAGACAAAUCUCUUAAGUAUAUAUGCUAUAUAUCAGUGUCAUGUCUGAAAUUUGGCAAAACGAUUUUGUGGUCAUGAAGGGUAGAAACAAAAAAAAAGGUUGACAUUUAAAAGUCACAUGCAGUUUCUAUCUCAGAAAGUAGAAUACUGUUUUUUGCUUUGAAAAACUGUUUUCAUCCUAAGAAAACCAGGUAAUAGGCUCCUAAGUUAUGCAAAGAUAAACCAAAGUAUCUGCCCAUUUUUUCUGUGGAAAAAAAAAAUAAUAAAACUACCCAUAAUCUGAAAGCAGAUAUUUUAGACAAGGAAGCUAAAUGUUUCUUUGGUAUAGUAAUAUAACUUUUAUUGGAUCAAAGUUCUAAGCCUUAAACCUGCAGAUUUUAUUGCUUUUAUGAGAAGAGUGAGAAUGUUUCUGUAGGGAUUUAGGUGACAGGAAUAAAUUCCUUUCUUGGACCUUGGAAUUGUUGAGUAUUCCUAGGGGUGAGGGAAGGAAGUGAGGGUGGGGUUGGUGGGGAUUUCUGUAUUGCUAAUGGAGGGCUGAGAACGUGUUAGAAAGUACCUUACCUUGUAAGGAAAUCUAACCCUACAGGGAAAGUUUCUAAAGUUAGCUGAUGGUUUCUACUUUUUUUUUUUUUUUUUUUUUUUGUGACAGGGUCUUGUGCUGUCACUCAAGCUGGACUGCAGUGGCAUGAUCACAGCUCAAGCGGUCCUCCUGCCCCAGCCUCCCAAGUAGCUGAGAGCUCAGAGGACAGGUGUGCACCACCACGCCCAGCUAACUUUUUAAAUUUUUGAUAGAGACAGGGUCUCACUAUGUUGCCCAGGCUAGUCUCAAACUCCUGGCCUCUAGUGAUCCCCCUGCUUUAGCCUCAGAUAGGAGGCCAAAGUGCCGGGAUUACAGACAUGAGCCACGACACCCAGCCAGUUUCCACUUCUUAAUGGAGAAUCAGAGUCAGGUUCUAUUUUAAGAUAGUUAAAAGUGGUAAGAACAAGAAACAGCGCUGCCUACAUUGCAGCAACCAUAAGCAGAGCCAGCAAUGGUGGGGCAUAGUAGCUUGAUGAGGAAGCAAAGCAGAUCAUGAGGAAAUUUGCCUCUCAUCACAUGGAUGCAGAGUAUGAGGAACCACUCAGAAAUGACUAAGGGGCAUGAUAAAGCCAACCAAACUCUUGGGAUCCAAGAUUUCUCGGUGUCCAUUCUGGGGUGGAAUCAGUCUAUCUGCACUUUUAACAAGCUCCUGGACUCUUCCAGUGCAGUCAACACUGGGGCCUCAUUCUACUGGAGCAAUAUUUAAAAGGAACAUUUAAC
rnacentral:lncRNA from 10 species